rnacentral:lncRNA from 1 species
GUGCGAUACAGAAUAAAAUAUCGUAUCGGCGAUAUUCCGAUACGGAUUUUCAUACGAUACUUGAUAUCGCGAUAUUUUGGGAUAAUAUCGAAAAUAUCGUGAUACGAUAUUUAGGGGGAAAAACAAACAACAGUUUCUUUUAAACUCAUUUAUUUGCCAGAAGUAAUUAAAUUUAAAUAAGAAAAAAAAUAAAAACUGUUUGAAAUAGAAAUUAAAUUCUGAUAAAAAAAAUUAAAUUUCUUAGCAAAAAGUUUUACAAAUGAAAUAUAAAAAAUUGGUUUUCAAAUUGAAUAUCACAAAUGCUUAUGUAAAAGCCAAGGAAUUUUUUCCAAAAAAUUUUUUGAACAGGAUUCAGCUUAUACAUGAGGUUAAAAAUUUUUGCAACCUUAUAAGAUUCACCUCAGUUAUGCCUUUGUGUCGACAUGUAGUCUGCCCUAUUUAUCCCUAACAAAGAAUGGAUAAAUUUGUAGUGUUUCCGCUUGUUUUCACCUGUUUUCUGCAAUAUUUGCACUCAGCAAUAUUUUUUUUUACUUUUGAUUUUUUCAAAAUGAUUCCAUACAAAGUUAGCAGAAUGAGACCUGGUGAAACUACUACGAAGGAAGACUAAAAUCAGUAACGAAAAUAGAACAGUCUGUCUAAUGUUGCCAACUCGCCAAAUUCAAAUAUCACGCCCAACCUCUGUUGAUUUAUCCAUAGCUAUGGAUUUUUCAAAUAAGGUGAUUAAUAAUUAUCAUAAAAUUUAUUGUUUAAUUUCAUUAAAAUAUUAUUUUAAAAUAAUUUUAAUACAAGAGUUGUUUAACGAAAUCGGCCGUUAUCUUUAACCAACGAUUUAUAUACAUGCAGAAACAAUUAAAUUAUCGCAAGUAAAAUAUCGUAUCGUUCGAUAUAUUGGCGUCCAAAAAAUAUCGGAAUAUCGAGACGAGUAAAUUGGCGAUACACGAUAUAUUGUAUCGUAUCGUCCCAACUCUAGUAGUGACGAUUGAUUGGGAAGGGGCAGCCCUAAUAAAGUCAGUAUUUGAUUAUAGAGGAUUCACUACUGUUGAAGCUAUACAGUUGGAGAGAAUGAAGUAGUGUUGAAAUACCAUUAAUGAUGAUAGCCCUCUGGUGCUCUCUCCGUCAUGGAGGUGUGCACGAUCAACAACUUAUGACUUAGUAAGUGAUUUCGGACUCCAUGUCGUGGUGUGCCUAGAUGAUGAUUGGAGCUCCUAUACUGAGGAACGUGCAAACUCUGAUAUAUUGUAGUGAGCUUGUAUUUCUUUAUUUUAGUCUUUUGACUUCUAAUUUAUCUAGUUGUUAUCAUAUUAUAUUAAUUGAAUUCUCGUUUAUCGAAUAUUGUUUUAUAUAUCCUGUAAAAUUUGUUGGAGCUAAUGGUUUAUUCAUGUUAAUGUGUAUGAGUUAUUUAUUAAUUUGACUUUGUGUAUUCUAAAUUCUUUGGCGCAUAUUCUGUCCUAUCUAAGCUACUAGUUUAAACCAGUCUGAGGUUUAAGCCAGAAAG